rnacentral:rRNA from 1 species
AUGGCGCUCUUCCUCGGCAUCCUCCGCCGCACCCACCUGCUGUCCGGACACGCGUCCUCCUCCACGCCGUCAGCCCGGUGGCUCGGCUCCGUCCUCCACCUCCUUCUAUCCUUGCACGGAGCUCAAGCUCUUGCCCGCACCCAUCUUGCCCAUCCCCUGCUGGAACACAUAGAAGAAGUAGCCCUGGUUCAUGGUGAACAUGUUCACAAGCCGCUGCGUCUCCGGCGACUCGAACUGCGCCUGGUCCGAGCUCAGCAGGCCCCUCCGCUGCUGCAGCUCCUUGAAGUAGACUCCGUCGAAUGUCGUGCUCGUCCGGUCGAACGUCGCCGUCGCGGAGUCCCCGCCCUUGCUGCACGUAGCCGCCAGUGA